UGGGUUGUGGCUCAGUAGUAGAGCACUUGCCUGGCAUGUGUAAGGCCCUGUGUUCAAACCUCAGCACCACAU
rfam:Ictidomys tridecemlineatus contig069259, whole genome shotgun sequence.